rnacentral:lncRNA from 1 species
GUCGCGGGGCCUGCCGGGAACUGGAGUGCGCCCCGCGGCCUUUUGCGCAGGCGCCGAAGCCACACCGCGAAGUACCGUUUUUUCAGGCACAAGGAAGGUUUCACCCCGUUGCCGAAAGACUAAGCGUCCCGUUGGCCAGUGCAACGAAGAACGGAGGAAGCGACAAGAUUUCAGUUUGUAAGUAGUGAGAGCAAUGAUCUUGGCUUUGCAUGGUGCUCAGGAAGCCUUCCCCGCUCCCAAACCAGAAAGGAAUCCAUCCAGAUUUUCCUCCACUGUCUGGAUGGCCGCUCUGUGGAUGCUUCCAUCUGUAUCCAUUGCCGGCACCUGGUGAGAUUCCGUCUCUAGAGCCUUUGAGGUCACUCCUGACGCUGACAUGGCUGUGAAGAGCUGGGUGCCAGGCAUUACUGCCUCCAAGGUUGCUUUGCGAGGAAUAGGUGGGGCAUCAGGAAGAAGCCAGUUGCAGGCAAGGCCUCUGCUGAUGCUGCUUUUUUCUCCUGUACCCAUCCAUGGGAGGGAGCUGUGAGAUGGCCUGGCAGAACCCGCUCUUGGACCCCACAGAAUGAGAGGCUCACCCUGCACAGGAACAUCCUGGGGCAGCAGGCUCAGCACAUUUUAAAUUUUGAGUAUGAACAAAGUAAACUUCAGGGUUAAAAAAAAACACAAAAAUUUGUCGAGCACACAAUGAUUGAGUGCCUAUGGUAUACCUGACGCUUUGCCAUAUCCAGGCUUCAAACCUCAGGGUUCUGGGUCCUUUGAGGCCCAGCUCCAACCCCACCUCACCCAAGCACUCUCCACCCCCACCACGUAACCUUACCAGGGCUGCCCAGCUUGGGUCAUCUCAGACCACUUGGGCCCCUCAGGCCUCACGCCCUGAGCCCCUCAGCCUGGAAACCAGCCUGGACACUAUGGGGGCCCCUGAGGUUUCCACCUCCUGCUGCCCUUGGCCUGAAAGGGGUCAGUGGGACCCCGCCUUGGGCCUCUGGGAGGCUGUACCUUUGCUUCUGCCUCAUCCUGUUCUCCAGGGCCCUGUCCCCUUCUUGCUGGGCCCUCCCGGGAUGCCCCCCAGUCACUGACCUCACUGGCCUAAGUCUCGCCUCCUCCAGGAAGCCUUCCAGACUGAUGGCUCCCAGGCACUGAGCAUCCCCCAACCUUGCUGUGAAUGGUGGAUGCCCACCAUGGGCCCUCGGAAGCCAGGGAAGCCUGGGUCUCCUUGCAGGGGCCGCCACAGUUUUUCAGCCACUGCGAUUCCACCCAGGUAAAUCCCUUUCCUGCUUGUGUUUCCCAAGAAUAACUGUGGAACGUGCUGGAAAUGCAACAUCCUGAGAUAGGGAGAACAGCCUGAAGCAGCCAGGGCCUAGUUCCUAUGCUCUGAGAGAAGGGAACGUCAUGAGUUAGGUAGGGGCCCCCAAAGAAGAAAGCGAGGCAAAAAUCCCUGUAAGUAGAGCUCGCCUGGGCCAAGGUGAAGACAACCACCG